UUACUCAGAGGUUGGCUUGUGCAAUACGCCCUUUCUCCACGUGCGCAUUACUGUUAACCAUGAUUAAGUGCGUGACUGGUUUCCUUCCUUGUUAUUAAGAGAUUUUAAGAAGUCAGUUAUCUUAGCUUUGCACUGCGAGUUAACAUGCCGGGCGUUAGUUAUGAAGUUUCUGCUGAACUCCUUGGAGGUAAAAUGCACGGUGGUUUAGCUCGUGCUGGAAAAGUGAGGAAGGUUACCCCGAAAGUCCCCAAACAGGAGCGUUUAAAAAAAAAGUUGACUGGUCGUGCUAAGAGGAGAAUGCAAUACAAUAAGCGCUUCGCUCCUUCUUCUAAGGGCUUUGGCAGGAAAAGAUCACCUAAUUCUAAUCAAUAAAG